CAGAUCUCUGGGGGCCCCAAAAGUGCGUGGGCCCUUAGAAUCGUCCUAACUUUCCCCACCUUAGCGGCGCCCCUGCUACCGACAUUUAA